AUUCCCCCCUCCCCUCACCGUGCGCUGCGCCGCUCCCUCUCCUCCCGAGCACCCCGCGCCUGCACCUCCAAAGAUCCGGUAGUGGCGACGGAUCUCCACCUCCCCUGGCAACUACGGAUCUCCAACCCGCAUCCCCAGGCGGCCGAGUUGGGUUGCUGCGUGUGCAGAGCAUCCCGGACGCGCGGCCGGGGGCAGGAGCGCCGGCGUUGGUUCGUCCCCUCUCUCCACGGCCGCUCCCACCGCCGCUGCUCUCACAUCCGCCUCGCCGAUGCCGACGCCGUCCCACCGGCCCACGCUGGCCGAACGCCGGCGCGAGGACACGCACCCCUGCGCGCUCGCGACCUCGCUCAACUCCGGCGUUCCUGCCGACUUCCCACCGCCCCUCAGCACCGCGGACCGUCGGCUUCCGCCUCCGCCUCCUCCUCCGCGGGCCGCGGCCCCCAUCCUACGCUGCGCUAUCGGGGCCCUACCUCCUCCGUCAUGCCACCCGCCCGCGAGCCGCGCGAGUCUCCUGACCGACGCGAGCCGCGCCCCCCUCCUUCGCCGCGCCGCCAGCAAGCUAAGUCGACCCCGCAGGAACGAACCCUAGCUAGCCAUUCCCCUCUUCGGAGUCGGAGCUGCUGGAUCCCCACCCCACCCUCUCUCCGCCUCCCUCACGGGUCCCGGCGCAAGGCACGGAGGAGGCGGCGGCCGCGGCCACAGAGGCAACACUGGGCGACUGCCCAGACAUGGAGCUACACCAAUUCCAAUUGGCAUCAAGGUAGCUUCAUGCGGCGGCCAGCUCCCUCUCUCCUCUUCCCACUUCUUUGCUAAUCUUUGCUAAGUGUGACCAAUUCUGUUCAUCAGUUAUCUGCAUUGUUUUAUUUGGUUUGCUAUUGCCAACAAUUAACAAGUAGUAUUUGUUCAUUACUUGAGUUCAUGCUUUGCACCUCUUGAAAUUGGUAUUGGAACUGCAGUUAGAGUUUUAUAUCAUUCCUGUAACUGAAGUGUAUAAUCUGCCAUAAUAAAGUUGUGACAUCCAGGUGCCUAAAAGUUUAUACAUAAGUAUAUUUCUCAUCUGUGCAUAAGUUUUUACCAUUCCGGGAUGCCAAUGUAUUCAGAAAUGAAGCUAGCUUUUUUUGUCUACAUACCUCUGGAACCCCAAAAUAAAGGUAAGAAAGCAUAUUUGUCCUUUCACCUUUUUCUUCUUUAGCAAACCAUACCUUCGUUUGGGUUUGGGUACGCAUCUGCUUUAACUUAAUGCUUAUGGAAGGAAUUAAUGUUGUAUAUGACACCUUUUUUGGGCCCAUAUGAUGCAGAAUGAACUGAACAUCAAGCAGAGGUAAGGUUACUGUGCUUCAGAUUUGAUAGAAUCGUAUACAUUAUCUAUCUGCAUGUCCAUGGUCUGGGUAUAUGUUCAGUCCUUCUAUUCUAUUGGUAACAUGUGUUCUUUAUUUUUAGUGUGGCAACAGAGCUUCAAAACUUUCAGUGUCAAAACAAAGAUUCAGGCUAAGGUACAGGACACCAAGACCAAGAUUAAAAACGAAAGCUGCAGCCAGAAGAAAAACAGAGGUGCAUGGGCAGUUGAUCCGGAUAAAGAUAACCAUGUUCUGGACGAGUGUUCAGGAUGAAAUGGAACAAGGAACAAGUAAUGCGAAGACAUGGGAAAUUCGAGGCAAAUAUUGGAACCUUUGCUAUUUUUGUUUCUAGUGUAUUGCUUUUGAUGCAAGAUGACAGCAUGUAAUUUGCUAUUUUGAUGUGCUUCUCAAUGUAAAUAUGAGAUAUUCUAUUUGAUUUGAUGUUGUGGUAAAUGGGCAGAAAAUUUUAGUAUA